CGGGACGGGGUGGAGUAAUGUAUGGGGAUCUGCCUGAUGGGGGGGGAGUAACUACUGGAAACGGUAGCUAAUACCGCAUAAUGUCUACGGACCAAAGCGGGGGACCGUCCGGGCCUCGCGCCAUCAGAUGAACCCAUAUGGGAUUAGCUUGUAGGUAAGGUAACGGCUUACCUAGGCGACGAUCCCUAGCUGGUCUGAGAGGAUGAUCAGCCACACUGGGACUGAGACACGGCCCAG
rnacentral:rRNA from 1 species